CGUUAGCUGGUCGCCCACCCCCCAGAUGUCAAAGGGAAAAAAAACUAGCCCACUCUCCCGGUCCGUUCCUCUCUCCCUCCGGCUCCGGUGCUUCACAUCUCGUCAUUGCGGCAGAGGCAGCGGCAGCGACGGCACCGCACGGACGACCCGGCGGCGAGGACUACCUCUCUCGCGCGUGGAGUAGCUCCCUUUCCUCUCUCAUGCGGUAGCAACUGAGGCGCUAUGGGCGGUGCAAGAUCCGGGCGAGCUCGGUAGGACAACGGCGUUCUCCGGCGUCCCUCUCCAGUGUCGACGGUAUUAUCGCCAGGUUAUUGGUUUUUGGGAGCAGUGUGGGGAAAGAGGAAGAAGACCAAGAAAGGAAAGGAAAAUGAGAAGCUCGGGUGAUGGAGGUAAUUCUGGAGAAGAGCUCCUGGUGGUGGGAUCAAUUCAGGGAGGAGGUGGAUAUCAUAGCGGAGGAGAUGAAGGGCGUGUCGAUGACAUAGAAGAAGAGGAGGAGCUUAAGGCUGCGGAGAAAAAGGAACAACAGCAGAGUAUCAGACUUCGAUCUAGCUGAGGCAAACCAAUAAUUGAAAUUCUGCCAAGAAAUCUAGGAGCAGAAGAAGAUGUAUGCAAGGGACUUGGAGACAAGGCAAUGGUGCGCAGGCGGGAAAAUUAUUGUUCUAAUUGGUUAGGAUUGGAGUUCGACUGCUAUUGAGUUUAUUAUAUCAAAGUUGGUUGCAUCAGUCACUUCAGGAGAUGGUCAUGUGCGCUAGGAAAUUAGCUUGAUUUGGAGAUACUACAAUGAAGCGUAGCUAGCUGGACUAUGCAGUUACCUAAUUGGAAUUCACAACUAGUUCCUUCGGCAAUUCCAACAAAUCUGGGAUUCAGUAUAAAGCAAACAAAUUUUCUUGUUAGCAAACAUUGUUGUAUUUUGGAGUUUAUUAAGCCAUCGACAGAAAAUGAAUAACGCGAUUCAGAUUAAGGAGUGUUUACAAGUUGUGUGCUCAUACAAGUACAUGCUUUAGGUGUACGUGAAUCU